GCCAGCAUAGCUCAGUUGGUAGAGCAGCCGCCUUGUAAGCGGCAGGUCGUCGGUUCGAGUCCGUCUGCUGGCUCCA
rnacentral:tRNA from 2 species